rnacentral:rRNA from 1 species
UACGAGGGGUGCAAGCGUUGCUCGGAAUUAUUGGGCGUAAAGGGUAGGUAGGUGGUCUCAUUUGUCUGGGGUGAAAUCCUUGAGCUUAACUCAAGAAGUGCCCCAGAAACGGUGAGACUAGAGUACUGGAGAGGGUCGUGGAAUUCCCGGUGUAGCGGUGAAAUGCGUAGAGAUCGGGAGGAACACCAGCGGCGAAGGCGGCGACCUGGACAGUAACUGACACUCAACUACGAAAGCGUGGGGAGCAAACAGG